UGCAUAGUGAAGGAGGAAGUUCAAAUGAAGAUUCCCAUGUAUGCCUCAACUUAGGUUUGACAGAUUAUAGGACCUUUGUGGGAACAAACUUAAGCCCAUUGUGGGAAAAAUUCCUUGUUCCAGCAGAAGAAAUUUUUCCCUGCAGAUGACUGUAUUCGAUGUCGGCACACCUCAAGUCCUCUGGGUAAUGGUGCUAUUGUGGAGACAUCAGAUGGGAAAAUAGUUUUGUUGCAAAGAAGUAAUAAUGUAGGUGAAUUUCCAGG